CCGCUAGAUGAUGAAGUCGUCACCAACAUCCUCAGUGGGCUCGAGCUGAGUACAAUCCGUUGGUAUCUGCCCUAAUCUGUAGGGUGGAACCAAUCUCGGUUGGUGAGUUAUACGCCCAACUACUCAGGUUUGAGA